rnacentral:lncRNA from 1 species
CGAAAUUGAGAGUACAAUAAUGUACAAAGAGCAGUAAAAAGGUCAAAAGAGUAAAACAACAAACACAUUUUGAGAGCAUUAUCGAACAAAUAACAGAUUAAAGAAGAGAACUAAACACAUUUGUAAAACAGAUUAAUGCAAGAUUAAAGAACGCCAUAUAUAACCUGCAAAAAAAACCAAAAAAAGGUCAGACACCCUAAAUAAAAUAAAUAAUAGAAAACAAAAAACAAAGGAAAAAGAAGAAAAAGGUAGCCUCUCGGCCCUACUUUCCCUCACGCACGCAAUAAACGGGGCCCCUGACGAAUAACGCAUCAUCGGACCACCAGUUCUCGGGCGUGCAGGGUGCCAUGACCCCCUUUUCUUUUCUUUUUUUUUUCCCUUUCUUUUUCACAUUCCUUUUUUUUGUUCUCUUUCUCUUUUUUUCUUUCUCCCUUCUUCCUCAUUAGGUCUAGAAAUUUCAGAUUUGAAAAGUAUUUUUUUUACAAUAAUUUGUUAGGAGUCCUAAAAAUAAAACAAACUUAAACAGAAGCUUUCAAAAUAUAAUAAUAAAAAAAGAAAUUUGCAGUUUCAGGCUACCACGUAUGGUGCUCCGCCGUCAGAGAUCGGAGAACCCAGUAGAGCCGGCUAAGAUAAAAAGGAAAAAAACAAAGAAAAAUGGAAAAGUUUCGUGAAAAUGAAAGAAAAUGAGAAAUAAGGGUGCAACGCGCAAGGUAC